GACGGAGGAGGCAAGCGUUAUCCGGAAUUAUUGGGCGUAAAGGGUACGUCGGCGGCUGGUCAAGUCUGGGGUCAAAGGCCACAGCUCAACUGUGGGAAGGCCCUGGAAACUGGCCGGCUAGAGUGAGGUAGGGGUUGCGGGAAUUCCCGGUGUAGCGGUGAAAUGCGUAGAGAUCGGGAAGAACACCUGAGGCGGAAGCGCGCAACUGGGCCUCAACUGACGCUGAGGUACGAAAGCUAGUGGAGCGAAGGGG
rnacentral:rRNA from 1 species